rnacentral:rRNA from 1 species
GACGUAGGGCGCGAGCGUUGUCCGGAUUUAUUGGGCGUAAAGAGCUCGUAGGCGGCUUGUUGCGUCGGCUGUGAAAACCCGCAGCUCAACUGUGGGCUUGCAGCUGAUACGGGCAGGCUUGAGUUCGGUAGGGGAGACUGGAAUUCCUGGUGUAGCGGUGAAAUGCGCAGAUAUCAGGAAGAACACCCGUGGCUAAGGCGGCUCUCUAGUACGGUACUGACGCUGAGACGCGAAAGCGUGGGGAGCGAACAGG